rnacentral:rRNA from 1 species
UGAUCGUAGGCGGUAGCCCUACUAUGCACCUCGAGCGGCAGCGGAAAGUAGCUUGCUACUUUGCCGGCGAGCGGCGGACGGGUGAGUAAUGUCUGGGAAACUGCCUGAUGGAGGGGGAUAACUACUGGAAACGGUAGCUAAUACCGCAUAACGUCGCAAGACCAAAGAGGGGGACCUUCGGGCCUCUUGCCAUCAGAUGUGCCCAGAUGGGAUUAGCUAGUAGGUGGGGUAACGGCUCACCUAGGCGACGAUCCCUAGCUGGUCUGAGAGGAUGACCAGCCACACUGGAACUGAGACACGGUCCAGACUCCUACGGGAGGCAGCAGUGGGGAAUAUUGCACAAUGGGCGCAAGCCUGAUGCAGCCAUGCCGCGUGUAUGAAGAAGGCCUUCGGGUUGUAAAGUACUUUCAGCGGGGAGGAAGGCGUUGAGGUUAAUAACCUCACAUUGACGUUACCCGCAAAAGAAGCACCGGCUAACUCCUGCCAGCAGCCGCGGUAAUACGGAGGGUGCAGCGUUAAUCGGAAUUACUGGGCGUAAAGCGCACGCAGGCGGUCUGUCAAGUCGGAUGUGAAAUCCCCGGGCUCAACCUGGGAACUGCAUUCAAACUGGAGGUAAU